GCUCAGUCGGUUAAGUGUACAACUCUUGAUUUCGGCUCAGGUCAUGAUCUCACGGUUUGUGAGUUCGAGUCCCACAUUGGGCU
rnacentral:tRNA from 1 species